AUCUCUUCAGCGGCAACUAUACCAAAAUUGGAACCAUACAGAGAGGAUUAGUUGGCCCCUGCUCAAGGAUGAUAUGCAAACUCAUGAAGCAUUCCAUAUUUAA
rfam:Tupaia chinensis contig98873, whole genome shotgun sequence.